UACGGAAGGUGGCAAGCGUUGCUCGGAAUCACUGGGCGUAAAGGGUGCGUAGGCGGCCGCGCAAGUCUGGCGUGAAAGCCCCGGGCUCAGCCCGGGAAGGGCGCUCGAAACGGCGCGGCUCGAGUGCCGGAGGGGAGAGUGGAAUUCCUGGUGUAGCGGUAGAAAUGCGUAGAUAUCUGGAGGAACACCGGUGGCGAAGGCGGCAUCCUGGACCGGUAUGACGCUGAGGCGCGAAAGCUAGGGGAGCAAACGGG
rnacentral:rRNA from 1 species